GGAAGCAUAGCUCAGUUGGUCAGAGCGCACGGUUCACAUCCGUGAGGUCGCAGGUUCGAGCCCUGCUGUUUCCA
rnacentral:tRNA from 1 species